rnacentral:rRNA from 1 species
CACGUAGGGCGCGAGCGUUGUCCGGAAUUAUUGGGCGUAAAGAGCUCGUAGGCGGCCUGUUGCGUCCGCUGUGAAAGCCCGGGGCUUAACCCCGGGUCUGCAGUGGAUACGGGCAGGCUAGAGGUAGGUAGGGGAGAAUGGAAUUCCUGGUGUAGCGGUGAAAUGCGCAGAUAUCAGGAGGAACACCGGUGGCGAAGGCGGGUCUCUGGGCCGAUACUGACACUGAGGCGCGAAAGCGUGGGGAGCGAACAGG